rnacentral:lncRNA from 1 species
UGAUUUAAACAUGUCAUAAAAACUGUGCUUUAAAAAAGAGAUCCUAAAGGUGAGAAUGGGAAGUUGUUUCCCUUUUUCCUUCAGUUAUACUUGUUUGUGUGCAUUCUGUUAACUCCCCAUCUGUCCACCUGCAGCUGACCCUAUGGCUGUGUGUCGGGCACCUGUGGAAAUGCCUUGUAACCCAGCGCUGCAAGGGAGUUGCCAGCUGAGCUUUUAAAGCCAGGCAGAAUUUGGAAGUUGAUGUUGCGCUCUCGGUUCCAGCUCCAGAGCAGGCUUGGCAGCAGCUAGUUCAUGUGUUGCUGCACUGUGCUGUGCUGUAUGCACGUCCCUUGUUUCACCUGCAGAUCAGAAAAAGUCAAAAGGUUUGGUCACCCAGUGUAGAAGAAAAGAAAACACCACUACUGGAUUGUCAAGGUAAUCGUUAUACUCUUACGACCUUCUUUUUCUGUGAUCUCUUCCUCUGGGAAUAUUCAUAGCUCCUUUGAUGACUCUUC